AAGUCUGCCGUCUGCAAGCCCUCGGCCGUUUGGCUGAGAAAUGACCAAGAAAUUGACGUCUAGUGUCCUUUCUCUCUCCGUCUCUCUCCCUCCUCCUGUCUUUCUUUUCUCGCAUCUCCACCAACUCCACCUCAAAAAGGUGCAUUUCGCUCUCUUCUCCUCCUCUUCUCUUCCGCCAGCUCGCUCGGCUUACGCCGGAGGAACUCUGCUUCCCUUCCCUGCACUGCCCGUUUGAGUUGGAGAAAGAAGUGAGAAAGGAAAGAACGGAAAUGGCCUCUUUCUUCCUCUAUUUCUUUGUCUCCCUCCUCUCCGGAGUCGCGUCGCAGGCCGCAAGCCCUGAGCUUCGUCCCCUCAGCUCCGAUGGCUUCGACCCCACCACCGUCCCUUCCUUCCCCGUCGCACGGGGCGUCAACCAGAGCUCGGCCUGCCACCUGGACCUCUCCGACGAGCUCUUCGGCGGGGUCAGCGACGCCUGUGCCCGCGGCACCCUCGACCGGAGCCGAUGCUGCCCCGUGCUCGCCGCCUGGCUCUUCGCCGCGCACGCUCGCUACGCGCUCGAGCUCCGGCCGCCGCCGCAGGCCGAGGAGGGCCUCGCUGCCGCCGACGGGCCGAUGAUGCCGGACGACAACCAGAAGUGCGUGGACACGCUGCACAGCGCGCUGGAGCGGCGCGGUAUCCGCCUGCCGCGGGCCAACGCCACCUGCGACACCGUGCUCUGCUUCUGCGGCAUCCGGCUCCACCAGGUUGGGUCGCUUCGGUGCCCGGCAGCCUUUAACGUCAGUGGCGGAAAGGAUCCUUCGCGGAACGCCACGCCGACGGCGGCGGUCCGUCAGCUGGAGCGCGACUGCCUCAACUCGUCGUACGCCGGCUGCACUCGAUGCUUGCACUCUCUCGAAAAGGUCAAGGGAAACGGCGGCGGGGUAAACAGCAGCGUAAGCGGAAACCGGACGGCGAGAAUGUUCGGCCGCGACUGCCAACUAAUGGGCCUGACGUGGCUGCUGGACUGACUUACGGGCUCAUCCUUUGGGGCUCGAUUAGGGGGGUAUCCCACAGGAUUCAUUGUUGUAUCAGCAGGUGGUCUAUAAGCGGACUCCGCCUGAGAAUAAAUCUGUUCCUGCAGCUGCUUUAAUUUAGGAUAGUCAGAAACCCAAUCAUUAAUUUGACUGGUACCUGGAUGUUUUUCUGAAAGAUUUUCUUCUUCUUCAGUGCCAGCUGUGCCAGCUGCUACUAUUUCCCCACCACCUUCCCAUCAUCUUCAUCUUCAUCAUCCCAUGUUGAUCGUGUUGGUGGAAUAAAGGGGGCAGAUGGUGGUGCAGCAUAAUUGACAUAAAAGUUAUACUUGCCACUGGGUUCGCCAAGGGUAUCCCAUCUAGGAUUUGUAUCUGGCUGUCCUAGGGGUUCCCAUCUACUAUUUGUAGUUUCUUCAUUAGAGAAGACACAUAGGAAUUGUGUUGAGGAAGAUGCUUUUGUUGAAGAGGUGUUUUUAGAAGCCUUUAUUGAAUUUAA